rnacentral:pre_miRNA from 1 species
AGUUGUUGUUGAUGACGAUGAUGAUGAUGACGAUGAUGAUGAAAAGUGCUUGCUUUUUGCCACUCACUCAUUGUUCAUGAAUCAUCAUCAUCAUCAUCAUCAUCAUCAUCAUCAUCA